GACGAACGCUGGCGGCGUGCUUAACACAUGCAAGUCGAACGGAAAGGCCCCUUUGGGGGUACUCGAGUGGCGAACGGGUGAGUAACACGUGAGUAACCUGCCCUUGACUUCGGGAUAACUUCAGGAAACUGGGGCUAAUACCGGAUAGGAAUCCUUGCCGCAUGGUGGGGGUUGGAAAGCUUCGGCGGUUUUGGAUGGACUCGCGGCUUAUCAGCUUGUUGGUGGGGUAGUGGCUUACCAAGGCUUUGACGGGUAGCCGGCCUGAGAGGGCGACCGGCCACAUUGGGACUGAGAUACGGCCCAGACUCCUACGGGAGGCAGCAGUGGGGAAUAUUGCACAAUGGGCGGAAGCCUGAUGCAGCAACGCCGCGUGCGGGAUGACGGCCUUCGGGUUGUAAACCGCUUUCAGCAGGGGCGAAGCUUGUGGUGACGGUACCUGCAGAAGAAGCACCGGCUAACUACGUG
rnacentral:rRNA from 1 species